rnacentral:piRNA from 2 species
UGGAGCCAUGGUGAACUACAUCAAGA